AUGAAUGAGUACUCGACCACCAGGCUAUGUAUAUCAAAGGAAUUUGAUCAGUCACUUGAUUUUCUUGCUGGGAUGCAGUUGGAAAAGUUAAAAACAACUAAGAUCUCCUGUGAUGUGCUCACACGUGGCCUUUGGUGCCAUGGGAUGAACCAGUUAUGCCAAGAAGAUCAAGCUACCAUCGGGAGAGUGGGUAAAGGCACUCAGUGGGCAAAACCUCCACAAGGGCCCCUGAAGAUAAACAGGGAUGCGGCUUAUGAUGGUGAAACUAGAGCCACUUCGGGGAUUGUGAUCAGAGACAGUAGUGGCUGCGUGAUUCUUGCUCAGGGAUGCAACCUACCAAGGUGUUCAAAUAUUGAAGAAGCAGAAGCAAGGAUGUGUGCUGCUGGCUUAAGGCUAGGCCCUGCACGCUCAGAUGUUCAGAUUUCUGUUGGAGACUAA
rnacentral:rRNA from 1 species